AUUGAACGCUGGCGGCAGGCUUAACACAUGCAAGUCGAGCGGGGGAGGUUGCUUCGGUAACUGACCUAGCGGCGGACGGGUGAGUAAUGCUUAGGAAUCUGCCUAUUAGUGGGGGACAACAUUCCGAAAGGGAUGCUAAUACCGCAUACGCCCUACGGGGGAAAGCAGGGGAUCUUCGGACCUUGCGCUAAUAGAUGAGCCUAAGUCGGAUUAGCUAGUUGGUGGGGUAAAGGCCUACCAAGGCGACGAUCCGUAGCGGGUCUGAGAGGAUGAUCCGCCACACUGGGACUGAGACACGGCCCAGACUCCUACGGGAGGCAGCAGUGGGGAAUAUUGGACAAUGGGCGGAAGCCUGAUCUAGCCAUGCCGCGUGUGUGAAGAAGGCCUUUUGGUUGUAAAGCACUUUAAGCGAGGAGGAGGCUACUAGUACUAAUACUACUGGAUAGUGGACGUUACUCGCAGAAUAAGCACCGGCUAACUCUGUGCCAGCAGCCGCCGUAACAC
rnacentral:rRNA from 1 species